AGAGUUUGAUCCUGGCUCAGGAUGAACGCUGGCGGCGUGCUUAACACAUGCAAGUCGAAUGUAGCAAUACAUGGCGGACGGGUGAGUAACGCGUGAGCAAUCUGCCCAUAUCUGGGGGAUAACAGUUGGAAACGACUGAUAAUACCGCAUAAUAUGGUUUGAAGGCAUCUUCGAACCAUCAAAGAUUUAUCGGAUAUGGAUGAGCUCGCGUCUGAUUAGCUAGUUGGUGAGGUAACGGCUCACCAAGGCGACGAUCAGUAGCCGACCUGAGAGGGUGAUCGGCCACAUUGGAACUGAGACACGGUCCAAACUCCUACGGGAGGCAGCAGUGGGGAAUAUUGGGCAAUGGAGGAAACUCUGACCCAGCAACGCCGCGUGAAUGAUGAAGGUCUUCGGAUUGUAAAGCUCUUUAAGUGGGGACGAAGAAAGUGACUGUACCCACAGAAUAAGCCUCGGCUAACUACGUGCCAGCAGCCGCGGUAAUACGUAGGAGGCAAGCGUUAUCCGGAAUGACUGGGCGUAAAGGGUGCGUAGGCGGGACUGCAAGUCAGAUGUGAAAAUUAUGGGCUCAACCCAUAACCUGCAUUUGAAACUGUAGUUCUUGAGUGAUGGAGAGGCAGGCGGAAUUCCGUGUGUAGCGGUGAAAUGCGUAGAUAUACGGAGGAACACCAGUGGCGAAGGCGGCCUGCUGGACAUUAACUGACGCUGAGGCGCGAAAGCGUGGGGAGCAAACAGGAUUAGAUACCCUGGUAGUCCACGCUGUAAACGAUGGAUACUAGGUGUGCGGGUUGUGACCCCCCUGCGUGCCGCAGCUAACACAAAAAGUAUCCCACCUGGGGAGUACGAUCGCAAGGGUGAAACUCAAAGGAAAUUAACGGGGACCCGCACAAGCGGUGGAGCAUGUGGUUUAUUUUGAAGCAACGAGAAGAACCUUACCCAGCCUUGACAUCCCGGCGAGAACGGGGCAAUGACCGUUGCCCUUCGGGGCGCCGGAGACAGGUGGUGCAUGGUUGUCGUCAGCUCGUGUCGUGAGAUGUUGGGUCAAGUCCCGCAACGAGCGCAACCCCUGCCCCCAGUAGCCAGCGUAGAGGCGGGCACUCUGGGGGGACUGCCGGGGACAACCCGGAGGAGGGCGGGGAGGACGUCAAAUCAUCAUGCCCCUUACGGCUGGGGCUACACACGUGCUACAAUGGGGCCGACAGAGGGAAGCGGACGCGCGAGCGCGAGCGGACCCCAAAAACGGCCCCCCAGUUCGGAUUGGAGUCUGCAACCCGACUCCAUGAAGCUGGAUUCGCUAGUAAUCGCGCAUCAGCCACGGCGCGGUGAAUACGUUCCCGGGCCUUGCACACACCGCCCGUCAAG
rnacentral:rRNA from 1 species